rnacentral:lncRNA from 10 species
CAGCAAUUGCCCGUGGGCCCCCUUUAACACCAACAGCGUCCCCGGGGCCCGGGGCAAGCAUGUUCGAGGCGGUCACCCCCGGGCCUCGGCGCGCUCCCCCUGGCGGAGAGCCUCGUCUUCCGGCCGGUGAGGGAAGGUAGAGGAGGGAGUAGGGGCGAGGAGGCCUCGGCGGCCCUUGGGCUCUGCGGGCUGGGGACUCGGGGUGCCCGCGACACGCGCGGAGGCGCGGGCUGGGUUGGCCACGGGCAGGGAGCGCAGCCGCGCUCCUUCCUCUCUGCCCGCGUCGCCUCCGCGCGCACUGGUUCUGCGCGGCGGGGCUUGGCCUGCGCGACUGUCUACUCCGUCCCGGCGGCCUCGGAGCCCGGCCGAGCGGCGAGCUUGUCAGAGGACGGUGGUGGAAACGCUCCCGGCCUCCCCAGGGGCGCGGGCUGGAGGCUGGCGCCAGGCGCGGAGGACUCCCGGUAUCUUUUGACAGGCUGGCGCCUCGGCUCUGGGGACCCGCAGGCCCUGGGGAUACAAUAAUCUGGAAAACCAGACUUGCAGGAUGCAGACGUUGAUCAUAUGAACAGAUAUGCACAGAAGUAAGUGUAAAAUUGCCACCUGGUAAGACCUGUGUGAGGAAGGUACUAGAGUCUGUACCGGGUCA